GGAUUUAGCACAGCGCAAGGUCGUGAGUUCGAUUCCCGGUACCAGAAAAAAAAAAAAAAUCCCCUCAGAGUCUAAAACCUGGAACCUGCAUCUGUGGGGAGGCGGGGGAAGGAGGGCAAGGUUCGCACUCCAAAUCCAAAGCAAAGGAUUUCCAGUUUUAGCUGGUUCCUGUCCACUGCCCGACAAUUCCUUUCUGACAUGCUCUGGCUACUUGGGACAGUAAAACAGUGAUUACUGAUACUGCUUCAACCUGACCACGCGUGAAGGCAGGUAUCAUUAAUCAGACACAUAACUGUGACCAAAGAGUUGAUGUAUUCGCCCACUGCAUAGCUGAGAAAUACAGAGUCUAUGUUAAUACCCAGAUAAAUAGAUAGACAUAUUUUCCUUGCUCCUCAUUUCUGGUGUACACUGUGAUUUAUAUGGAUUUGGUCUUUGUACCUAUUUCCUGGCACACAACUACCAAAACUCUUAAAAUGUCUUAAGUGAUACUAAUGAGAUGAUUUGUAGCUGGGGGCCCCUGGAGAGCAUCAGGAUAGGGUCCCAGUUGCUAGGGGAACCAACUAGGUGUAUGAUUAGACAAUGAGAACUUUGGUCCCAUUCCCAAACCUCCGUGAGAGAAAAAUUUUGAAGGCUGAGCAGAAGGCAACCUUCAAUGGAUUAUAUCGGUGGCCAAUGACAUAAUCAAUCAUACCUAUGUAACAAAACCUUUAUUUAAAAAACCAAAAGGACAGAGCUGAGAGCUUCCAGGUUACGGGUCUUGGGGAGGGUCCUGGAGGAGGGCAGGCAAGAGACAAUAUAGAAACCCCAGACCCUUCCUACGUACUUCACUCUGUGCAUCUCUUCCGUCUGGCUGAGCUUCUGUGUCCUUUGUAAUACUAAAAUUGCCCAAGGCCUGGACACACGUGGAAAUGUAUUCUGUAGAUGACAAAGUUCUUAAAUUGUCCCUUAGGAUAUUGUGCCUUGAGAAUCUACGUAAGGGUAGUUGCAAACCAGCUUUUCAGGAAUGGACAUGCGCAGAAGUCAGCUUUACCUUUUAAUCAGACCAUUACCUUUUAAUAUCACAAGCUCAAAAUCAUGGUAAUGUCCCCCCAAAGAGACAUGCAACCUAUGAAGAGCCAUAAUGACCAUCUUUCCCAGCACAGAAGACCCAUAAAACUUGCCUUUAUUGCCAUCCAGUCCACAAGCAGCCUCUUCCCUCUCUCUUCCUAUGUAUAAAUUCCCUCAAUACCAACUGCUUGGAAAGGCAGAUUUGGACUUUAUUUCCGCUCUUGUCCUCUUUAUUGAAUAAACUUCUUUUUUGGGCAAAAAA